CCGGCCAUGUUGACGGGAUUUGGCGGUGUUGUGUUUGGAAAUUCGAAAUCAAUGUUGAUAAAUUGUCCGAUGAAGUUGUUGCGGAUUUGAUUCAAUACACCCAAAGUGUAAAAAUAUAUAGCUGCACAAUUUUAAGCUGUGCACUCAUUGGUGUAGGAAGAAUCGGACAUUUGCUGACGAAGACUUUUGUUUCAGUUUACCUUCGAAAACAUCGCACAGCUAUUGAUUUUAGAAUGAAGGGGCAAGAUGCUGAGAAGUAACGUGAGGGCAAACUGCAUUCAACAUGGACGCUGUCGAUGUCGCGGGAGUCUUGGAAUUUGACUGCAUAGUCUUAAGAGACGAGCUGUUGGAUUCCAGAGAAGCCAUUCAGCGAGUUAUAGCAGAGAAGUGGGCGUUCGCAAAAGAGGAAGUGGGGAAGUCUCGGUCUCGAUGCAGUGAGGAGGCGUCUGAUGUAGGUGUCCAAGUUGAAGGGGAAGUUGUGUAUCUCAAUGUGGAGGAAGAGGAGGAUCAAGAUGUUGAUGUGGAGGGAGAUGAAACAUCAUCAGUUACUCAACCACCUGGGAAUAUCGAUUGCCUCGUGUGACAUCAGAGUGCUGCCAUCUGUUGGAGAACCACGACACCUUUUCUGGGAUGGAUCAGUCGGCUGUCCUGCCAUUAUUUUGUCCACCACAGCACCUACACAGCAUUUGGAUCUCGAGGCGUCAGCAGUGCAGACCGCGACAUCACAUUGGCCGGAGCUCGAGGUGUGACAGAGUCCAAAGAGACAAAGAAGUUCUACAGUACUGUACGGUCGGAGGGAGCGGCCGAGUGCGGCAGAAG
rnacentral:misc_RNA from 1 species